UACGUAGGGUGCGGGCGUUAAUCGGAAUUACUGGGCGUAAAGCGUGCGCAGGCGGCUUUUCAAGUCAGGUGUGAAAUCCCCGGGCUCAACCCGGGAACUGCGUCCGAUACUGGAAGGCUUGAAUCCGGGAGAGGGAUGUGGAAUUCCAGGUGUAGCGGUGAAAUGCGUAGAUAUCUGGAGGAACACCGGUGGCGAAGGCGACAUCCUGGACCGGUAUUGACGCUGAGGCGCGAAAGCCAGGGGAGCAAACGGG
rnacentral:rRNA from 1 species